UAAUACAUGCAAGUCGAACGCGUCUUGGUUAUUGAUGUUAGAUGCUUGCAUUUAACUGAUUUAACAUUGAGACGAGUGGCGAACUGGUGAGUAACACGUGGGUAACCUGCCCUUGAAGUAGGGGAUAACACUUGGAAACAGGUGCUAAUACCGUAUAACAACCAAAACCACCUGGUUUUGGUUUAAAAGAUGGCUUCGGCUAUCACUUUAGGAUGGACCCGCGGCGUAUUAGCUUGUUGGUAAGGUAACGGCCUACCAAGGCAAUGAUACGUAGCCGACCUGAGAGGGUAAUCGGCCACAUUGGGACUGAGACACGGCCCAAACUCCUACGGGAGGCAGCAGUAGGGAAUCUUCCACAAUGGACGAAAGUCUGAUGGAGCAACGCCGCGUGAGUGAUGAAGGGUUUCGGCUCGUAAAACUCUGUUGUUGGAGAAGAACAGGUGUGAGAGUAACUGUUCACAUCUUGACGGUAUCCAACCAGAAAGCCACGGCUAACUACGUGCCAGCAGCCGCGGUAAUACGUAGGUGGCAAGCGUUGUCCGGAUUUAUUGGGCGUAAAGCGAGCGCAGGCGGUUUCUUAGGUCUGAUGUGAAAGCCUUCGGCUUAACCGGAGAAGUGCAUCGGAAACCAGGAGACUUGAGUGCAGAAGAGGACAGUGGAACUCCAUGUGUAGCGGUGAAAUGCGUAGAUAUAUGGAAGAACACCAGUGGCGAAGGCGGCUGUCUGGUCUGUAACUGACGCUGAG
rnacentral:rRNA from 1 species